UACGAAGGGGGCUAGCGUUGUUCGGAAUUACUGGGCGUAAAGCGCACGUGGGCGGAUAUUUAAGUCAGGGGUGAAAUCCCGCAGCUCAACUGCGGAACUGCCUUUGAUACUGGGUAUCUUGAGUAUGGAAGAGGUAAGUGGAAUUCCGAGUGUAGAGGUGAAAUUCGUAGAUAUUCGGAGGAACACCAGUGGCGAAGGCGGCUUACUGGUCCAUUACUGACGCUGAGGUGCGAAAGCGUGGGGAGCAAACAGG
rnacentral:rRNA from 1 species